UACGUAGGGUGCAAGCGUUAAUCGGAAUUACUGGGCGUAAAGCGUGCGCAGGCGGUUGUGCAAGACAGAUGUGAAAUCCCCGGGCUAACCUGGGAACUGCAUUUGUGACUGCACGGCUAGAGUGCGGCAGGAGGGGGAUGGAAUUCCGCGUGUAGCAGUGAAAUGCGUAGAUAUGCGGAGGAACACCGGAUGGCGAAGGCAAUCCCCUGGGCCCUGCACUGACGCUCAUGCACGAAAGCGUGGGGAGCAAACAGG
rnacentral:rRNA from 1 species